rnacentral:lncRNA from 1 species
GUGAGACUCUGUCUCAAAAACAAAAACAAAAAAAAUCAAACUGCCAUCUGGGCACGGUGGCUCACGCCUGUAAUCCCUGCACUUUGGGAGGCCGAGGCGGGCAGAUCACGAGGUCAGGAGUUCAAGACAUGAACAAGGCCAACAAGGUGAAACCCCAUCUCUACUAAAAAUACAAAAAUUAGCUGGACAUGGUGGCACGUGCCUGUAAUCCCAGCUACUUAGGAGGCUGAGGCAGGAGAAUUGCUUGAACCAGGACCUGGGAAGCAGAGGUUUCAGUGAGCCGAGAUUGCACCACUGCACUCUAGCCUGGGCUACAGAGCAAGACUCCAUCUCAAAGAAAAAAAAAAAAAAGAAAAAGAAACAAAAAAAAUCAAACUGCCAUGGAAAUUGCUUUACCCAAAAUUUUGGUUCACAGCCUUCAUUGCAUUACCUACUGGGGCAAACAAAGUAAAACCGGAUAAAGCUGAAGGUUCAAACAAGUGGUGGAAGGAGUAUGGAAAUUAAUCUUGUGGAAGUGGUUCUCUGUGUGAGAAACAUCGGCCUGACCACCUGACUUUCUGAUCACAUUCCACUGGGAAAAAGUCCAAGGAACAUCCCUAUCACAUUCUGCUGGAACAAGGACCAAGUCACCUCAUCAUGGGAACAUCUUAUCAAUAGCCUGUUGGGCAGCAAGCCAUACUGCCCAGACCCCUCCCUCCCAUACCUGCAAAGGCCCAACUAAAGAAACCUCCCUAUCCUGUCUUACUGGGCAAAGGCCCAAGGAACACCAUGAUGACAUCCCACCAGAAAAAGGGUCAAACCACCCUAUCAUGGGUACAUCUUAUUGAUAUCCUGCCGGGCAGCAAGCCACACUAUCCAGACUUCUCCCAGCCAUACCU